UGGCUCCAGCAUCGAUGAAGAACGCAGCAAAAUGCGAUAAGUAAUGUGAAUUGCAGAAUUCCGUGAAUCAUCGAAUCUUUGAACGUACAUUGCGCCCCUUGGUAUUCCUUGGGGCAUGCCUGUCCGAGCGUCAUUGCACCACUCAAGCUCCGCUUGGUCCUGGGAACCGCCCCCCGGCGGUCCCUAAAUCCAGUGGCGGUGGGCCCCCUCCCAGCACGACGUACCACGCUCCGUGCCCGGGUCCGGGACCGCCGGCCAGCAACCCGCCUCUACGGUUGACCUCGGAUCAGGUAGGGAUACCCGCUGA
rnacentral:misc_RNA from 1 species